rnacentral:rRNA from 1 species
UACGUAGGGUGCGAGCGUUGUCCGGACUUAUUGGGCGUAAAGAGCUUGUAGGCGGUCUGUCGCGUCUGCUGUGAAAAUCCGGGGCUCAACCCCGGACUUGCAGUGGGUACGGGCAGACUAGAGUGUGGUAGGGAAGACUGGAAUUCCUGGUGUAGCGGUGAAAUGCGCAGAUAUCAGGAGGAACACCGAUGGCGAAGGCAGGUCUCUGGGCCACUACUGACGCUGAGAAGCGAAAGCAUGGGGAGCGAACAGG